rnacentral:lncRNA from 1 species
GGAAAGAUGACAUCCACUGACUUGUUAUUUUUUUGAGAAGGAGUCUUGCUCUGUUGCCCAGGCUGGAGUGUGGUGGCACGAUCUCGGCUCACUGAUGAUGAGAAGAAAGAUCUUGCCAUUCAAAAGAGGAUCAGAGUGGAAGCUUCUCUGUGGUGUCAGAAAGACGAGGAAUGUGGUGACCUCACCUAUCCAUCUCCCUCAAGGCAGCUUUUGCUUAAGUUCUUGGACUCACUGAGGCAGUAAAAGAACCAUAUCCUGUGUUU